GUGAAGUGAUGAUUCAGUUUAUCCAUUCGCUGAGUGCACCCCACUACCUUCUUCAAGCCCCGUUCCUGUUCUAGGGACUCAGGGCUCUGCGGCCCCCAGUGCCUUGCGGCCUGCAGCGUUCUGCUGCAGGUGCGUGGUGCAGGGGGCUGUGGGAGGGUGGACGGAGGCAGCACGAAGAUGAGUGGUGGAAUCUGAUCAC
rnacentral:snoRNA from 13 species